CCCCUCCCUCGCCCUCCUCCCUUUCCUCCCUCCCCUUCUCCUCACCCUUAGCUCCCCGGGGCGCAGCCCAGAUUGCCCAGGACUCGGGGGACCAUGCCAGGAGGGCUCCAAUAGCACCCUGUCAACCAGGCACUUCCAGGAGUUACCCUGGAGCGGCCUCACCUGUGUUUUCAGGUGAUGGCCAAAACCUGAUGGAGGUCAGAGCUACUCCCCGGGGGGUGUCCCCAGCCACCAGCCCCACCCUCGACCUCCCUCUGUGAACCAAGCCAAGAGAAACCGAAAUCGUGGAGAAAGUUGCUUGGCUACUGCUGCGCAAGGGUGAAGCGGGGUGAAGAGUCCCGCCCUGGAGCAGAGCUGGCCCUGGGGACCCAGCUGAUGAAGCACUCUGGGUUCAAGGUCACAGCCGGCUUGCACUCAGGUGAAAGGCCCCAGGGUCCACACUCAGAAUCCACGCCGCACCCAUUAAGGGCCCAGAAGAUCUGAUGACAUCCUCAGCUUGAAGUGUCUUUACCCACGCGGUCACUCACACGGCACAGUGAACCCCCGGUUUGACGAGAGCUGGAGUCAACGUUCUGUCCUUAGUUGAAGGGGUGAUUACGGUCAAGUUUUGACUAGUUCUGGGGCUGUCCUUGCAGAAGCGGCUUGGGUCUGCCGUCACAUGACCAGCUUUUGUUUUCUGACCUCUCUGUUUGCCAACUGACCAGUUUGACCAGAAGUUUCUCCAGCUCCGAGGCGCAGCACGUAGGGGGAGCAGAAAAGGUGGAGAGGGAUGGGAAGGCCCUGAGGAGGAGCUGGGUCUGCCUGCCUCACAGCACCGGCAUCACCUCAUGGCGCCCACUGUGUAUGUAAACCAGGCAGAGACAGGCCAAACUCAACUUCACCUGGGGCUUUCCACGUCCACCUCUUUUUCACCCAAAAAUGGGAACACAGAAUGUCUUGUCCACCGGAGGUGGAGGGAGGGGUAAGUUCCCAAAAAGCAUGUUGCCUUUUUUUUUUUGUCUGAAUCACUAUAGUUUCUUCCCCAAAGGUUGUGUUUUUAAAGUCAUCUGGGGGGUUUACAAAUAAACCACCCUCCGGCCUCA